CCUGGUUGAUCCUGCCAAUAGUCAUAUGCUUGUCUCAAAGAUUAAGCCAUGCAUGUCUAAGUGUGAACUAAUUCAGACUGUGAAACUGUAGAUGGCUCAUUAAAUCAGUUAUAGUUUUUUUAUGGUACCAUACUACUCGGAUAAUCGUAGUAAUUCUAGAGCUAAUACGUGCACCAAGUCCCAACUCUUUGGAAGGGAUGCAUUUUUUAGAUAAAAGGUUGGCGCGGGCUUGCCCGCUUCUCCGGUGAAUCAUGAUAACUCAAUGGAUCACACAGCCCUUGUGCUGGAAAUGCUUCAUUCAAAUUUCUGCCCUAUCAACUUUUGAUGGUAGGAUAGAGGCCUACCAUGGUGGUGAUGGGUGACGGAGAACUAGGGUUUGGUUCCAGAGAGGGAGCCUAAGAAACAGCUACCACAUCCAAGGAAGGCAGCAGGCGCACAAGUUACUGAAUCCUGACAUGGGGAGGUAGUGACAAUAAAUAACAAUACUGGGCUCAUCGAGUUUGGUAAUUGGAAUGAGUAAAAUCUAAAUCCCUUAACGAGGAUCCAUUGGAGGGAAAGUAUGGUGCCAGCAGCCAUGGUAAUUCCAGCUCCAAUAGCAUAUAUUUAAGUUGUUGCAGUUAAAAAGCUCGUAGUUGGAUCUUGGGUCGUAAAGGUCAGUCCGCCUACUCCGUGUGCACCUGCCCUUCUGUCCCUUUUGUCGGUGGUGUGCUCCUGGCCUUAAUUGGCUAGCUCGCAGUUUCGGCACUGUUACUUUGAAAAAUUAGAGUGCUCAAAGCAAGCUUAUGCUCUGAAUACAUUAGCAUGGAAUAACGUGAUAGGAGUCUGGUCCUAUUGUGUUGGCCUUCAGGACCAGAGUAAUGAUUAAUAGGGACUAUCGGGGGCAUUCGUAUUUCAUUGUCAGAGGUGAAAUUCUUGGAUUUAUGAAAGAUGGACCACUGUGAAAGCAUUUGCCAAGGAUGUUUUCAUUAAUCAAGAACAAAAGUUGGGGGCUCGAAGACGAUCAGAUACCGUCCUAGUCUCAACCAUAAACGAUGCCGACCAGGGAUUGGCAGAUGUUGCUCUAAGGACUCCACCAGCACCUUCUGAGAAAUCAGAGUGUUUGGGUUCUGGGGGGAGUAUGGUCGCAACGCUGAAACUUAAAGGAAUUAAUGAAAGGGCACCACCAGGAGUGGAGCCUGCGGCUUAAUUUGACUUAACACGAGGAAACUUACAAGGUCCAGACAUAGUAAGGAUUGACAAAUUGAGAGCUCUUUCUUGAUUCUAUGGGUGGUGGUGCAUGGCCGUUCUUAGUUGGUGGAGCGAUUUUUCUGGUUAAUUCUGAUAAUGAACAAGACCUCAGCCUGCUAACUAGCUAUGUGGAGGUUCCCCUUUGUGGCCAACUUCUUAGAGGGACUAUGGUUGUUUAGGCCAUGGAAUUUUGAGGCAAUAAUAGGUCUGUGAUGCCCUUAGAUGUUUUGGGUCACACGCACACUACACUGAUGCAGCCAACAAGUUUUUCUUCCUGGUUUGAGAGGAUCGGGAAAUAUUCUCAAAUUGCAUCGUGAUGGGGAUAGACCAUUGCAAUUAUUGGUCUUAAACGAGGAAUUCCUAGUAAGCAUGUUUCAUCAACUCGUGUUGACUACGUCCCUACCCUUUGUACACACCACCCGUCGCUCCUACCGAUUGAAUGAUCUGGUGAAGUGUUCGGACUGCGUUGAUGAUGGUGUUUCACCGCCAUCGACGUCAUGAGAAGUUCAUUGAAACUUAUCAUUUAGAGGAAGGAGAAGUCGUAACAAGGUUACCGUAGGUGAACCUACAGUAG
rnacentral:rRNA from 1 species